AACCAUUGGUCCCUAUUGACACCUUCACCAAUAAAAUUCCACCACGUCAGUCUAUAUUCCGCUCGGUCCAACCCCCGUCCGAUUCCCCAUCGAUUUUUCAACCCCUCUCUCAGAAUCGAUCGCCAUCAUCCAUUCUCUCUCUCUCUCUCUCUCUCUAAACAUCUGAAGAAAAACACACACUCGCACACACUCACUUUGACACACAAACGAGCACUCACACAGAGAGAGACGCAGACCAACUUUAUCAUUUUUCUUCUUGCUAUCAGAAAACAUAAUAAAGUUGAGGUGUAGCGGAGUGGACUUUUGAGUUGCUGCGACGUCGUUUUUUUUUGGGGGAAGGAGUUAGGGUUUUGGGUUGACAGGGGCUGGGGUUUUAAGGAAAGGGGAAGACGCUACGAAUUUGGGGGAUUGGUUAUGAAGCAGAAGAGUUUUGGGGGUAGAGUUGAUCGAC
rnacentral:lncRNA from 1 species